rnacentral:lncRNA from 1 species
CUGCGGAGGCAAAUGGAAGAAAGAGCCCAACAGGUGGAAUCAUAUUAGAGAGUCUUGAACGCCAAGAUGAAGCAAGCUUUUCAUUCGAGGGUAUAUGAAGACUCAGGCCCCACCCAUGGAGGGUAGAACACACAUUUGCUGAAGACUUUAUGUGCUGGGCUGACUCAACUGGGCUGGAUUCCAGGCCCAUCACUGACUAUGCUUCUGUCAUUUCAACGGAGAGAAGAGGAAAUGAGGAUAAGUUCCAGAGGGAUGCAAGGGUGAAGUGCACUCACAAAGCCAGCUGCCACAUAGUGAGAUGGUCUUUGGAGAGGCCCAAGUAGCAGCAAUCAACCAUCAACAAACAGAAGCCCUCAGUCCCACAAUCCGAAAAGAAUUGAAUUAUGCAAACAACCACAAGAAUGAGCUUGGAAGCAGAUUCACCCCAGAAGGACCUGGAGAAGAGUUGACUGUAGCCUCCGAGAGAUCCGAGCCAGAGACCUGCUAAGCCACGCCCCCAUUCCUGACCCACAGA